CUGCUCUCUGAAUCGCCAUUUUUUCUUCUUUCUUCUUUUUCUGUUGUUGCUUCUUCCCUAAUUGCUUUUCUCUGCUCUCCACAAUUUGAAACGACAUCCACCUUAUUUCGCAAUCAAUCCAUUAGAUCCAUCGGUGAAUCCUUUAAUCAAAGGGGACUUUAGUGUAGAGUCGAAGGACUCAUGCCUUAACAGUGUCCUUUGACGAAUCUCUAAGUUAACGUCAAACACCGAUUUGACUUAAGAAUUUUAAUUGUAUAAUUCACCGUUGCUAGUCCUUUUGGUUUUAGUGUUGUGUUUAUAGUUGUUGCUUUUGACAUUUUACACUACAAGAAAAAACCUUAUUAGGGACUAGCAUUUAGCCUAAAAGUGUACUUACAGGGAUGAGAAUUUUUAUUGGUCUUUAACACGCAAUUUAAUCUUCUAAAUACAUGACCACACUUAUUCUGGUCUAUACAAAAGUUAAUAUCUGGUCUCUAAUAGUGCUUGAUUUCAGCGGGAUAGGAGCACCAAACUGAUGAAAACCAAAGUAAAAAAAAAUGCUCCAACAAAUUUCACGGUAAUCCCUCCAAAUUCACUUUCACCCUAACAUCCCUCCAAAAUACUUUCACAAAAUGCCUAAACUUCAUCCCUAAGAGGCGAAACUAAAAAGUAGGCCAUGGCGCUGCUAAACUUCAUCAAAAUUCAGAAGGUUGCAAAGAACUCAGAAGGUUGGUGUCGAAAAUUCAUCUCUCUCCAAGCGACUCCACACAAAGUAUACCAUUAGAUUAUCCGCCUAAUCAAGAGUAUAAUUACUGCUCUAGAAGAUGCUCGAGACUCUGGUGAACUUGUUCCUCUACUUAAGGAAAUUCUAGGGAGAGAGGAUUCAUCAGAGCUCAAGUCUAAAGCUGCUAAGGCUGUCAUAGACAGUAUUCCUCAAUUGUUGGAGCUAACUGAUUUGGUGAUUGAGAAUAAGCUGGUGGAAGCUCUUCUAAAGCUUCUGCAUUUUCCAUAUGGUAAUGUUUGUGAGCAGUGGAGAAACUGGGAAAGGUUGCUCAAUCCGUUGUAGGUCGUGAUUAUGCUCUAAUUGAGUGUGGGGCUUUGGAUGAUUUUAUGGAAAUUUUGAACAACAUUAACGAGAUUUCAAUGCUGAGAAAAACCACGUGGACUAUAUCAAAAUUUUGUGGAGGCAGGCCAAAACCGCCUUUUGAGAAGGUCGAUUAAUUAUUGUUGAUUUUUUUUUUUGCAUCUGCAACUAUUUGAUGCUAAACAUUACUGAUUACAAUUCAAUUGUCAGGUGAAACCAGCAUUCCCAACUCGUCGUAACUGUUAGUUUAUAGAUAUGUAUAGUGUAGUCUUGUCCCACAUUGGAAGAGGAGUAAUAUCUCCUUGUAGUGUAUAGCUAUAAAUAGGGACAUCUUGUAUUGUAUUUAU